UACGUAGGGUGCAAGCGUUGUCCGGAAUUAUUGGGCGUAAAGAGCGUGUAGGCGGCCAGGUAGGUCAGCUGUGAAAACUCGAGGCUCAACCUCGAGCUGUCGGCUGAAACCAUCUGGCUAGAGUCCGGAAGAGGCGAGUGGAAUUCCCGGUGUAGCGGUGAAAUGCGUAGAUAUCAGGAGGAACACCUGCGGUGUAGACGGCUUACUGGACCAUAACUGACGCUGAGGCACGAAAGCGUGGGUAGCAAACAGG
rnacentral:rRNA from 1 species